rnacentral:lncRNA from 1 species
UCAGCACCCCUGGGUUCCUUCCUCAGUUUCCCUCCUCGGGGUUUACAGGGCUGGAGCCCGAGGCACUGGCACCCUGCUUGGUCUUGCCAGCUUUCUCCUUUGGGCAGGGGACUCCGUUGGCUCCUUCCCCACACUGCACGCGGGCUGAGGCCCACCUGCCGCCCCGAGCCCCGGAGCUGGACAGAGGGGGCUCUCCCCACAGCAGGCCCCUGCCGACAGCUUUGGCGCAACCCCACGGAGGGGCCCGGCCUGAGGAGCAGCUGGGCCUCUAGUUUCUGGGUCUGGGGUUGGAGGCCUGGGGGUGGGAGCAGGGAAGGUUCCCAUCGGCAGGCCCAGCCCCGCCUGCCUCUGGAGUGGGGGCGGCGGGAGUCAGGAAAGGGAGAAGCUGGCCAGGCUGGUGGCCCAGGGGGACCGAGGGGCUUCCUGCCUCCGUGGAGACGGGCCUCGGUGCCCAGACUGUUAUUUCAGCUCUGGUAUUUCCAAUCCCAGGGAACCAGGGUGGGGGAGGGGGCGGGCAGGGGCCCAGCUUGCGGGGAGGGAAGGCGAGUGGGAGGCAGCCAGAGCCACCGAACUCCUCCGGGUCCUAGAGAAGGGUGGCUCCUUUCCUCCCCGCACCGCCCCCACCCGCCCCCACCACAUCUGUCCCUCGGAAAGGUCCUGACCUCACCUCCCCCACUUCCGGACUUCUCCAGAGUUCCAGCCCUGGAGAGACACUCCAAACCGAAGGGCCGCAGUCCCCGCCACGGCCCCUCCCUUGGCUUGGCUCCGGGACCGGAGCCCCCCUGCCUCCCUGACCGUUGUGCCAGAUGUGGCUGCUGGGGAGGGGGGAGCAAGGCCUCAGCUGGCAGUGGUCACUCGGUGGUCCUCACUCUGCGGAGUCAGCGAGUUCUGGGUCAGCUCACCAGGCCUCCUCAUGCAGCACUUCCUCCGGCCCCCCUUCCAGAGUCAGGGCCGGGGUACAGAGGUCAAGGCUGGGUGGGCCGGAGCUUCCGUUCCCAGUUCUGCACAAAUCCCACCAGUGCCCUUCCCUGA